rnacentral:rRNA from 1 species
UACGUAGGGACCAAGCGUUGUUCGGAUUUACUGGGCGUAAAGGGCGCGUAGGCGGCAAUUCAAGUCAGCUGUGAAAUCUCCGGGCUUAACUCGGAACGGUCAGCUGAUACUGCUUUGCUAGAGUGCGGAAGGGGCAAUCGGAAUUCUCGGUGUAGCGGUGAAAUGCGCAGAUAUCAGGAGGAACACCGAUGGCGAAGGCAGGUCUCUGGGCCAUAACUGACGCUGAGAAGCGAAAGCAUGGGGAGCGAACAGG